rnacentral:rRNA from 1 species
UGGGGAAUAUUGGACAAUGGGGGGAACCCUGAUCCAGCCAUGCCGCGUGUGUGAAGAAGGCCUUAUGGUUGUAAAGCACUUUAAGUUGGGAGGAAGGGCAGUAAGCGAAUACCUUGCUGUUUUGACGUUACCGACAGAAUAAGCACCGGCUAACUCUGUGCCAGCAGCCGCGGUAAUACAGAGGGUGCAAGCGUUAAUCGGAAUUACUGGGCGUAAAGCGCGCGUAGGUGGUUCGUUAAGUUGAAUGUGAAAGCCCCGGGCUCAACCUGGGAACUGCAUCCAAAACUGGCGAGCUAGAGUAGGGCAGAGGGUGGUGGAAUUUCCUGUGUAGCGGUGAAAUGCGUAGAGAUCUGGAGGAAUACCGAUGGCGAAGGCAGCCAUCUGGCCUAACACUGACGCUGAGGUACGAAAGCAUGGGGAGCAAACAGG